rnacentral:rRNA from 1 species
CGUCUAUAUACGUAUAGCAUAUCAAUAAGCGGAGGAAAAGAAACUAACUAGGAUUCCCUCAGUAACGGCGAGUGAAGCGGGAAGAGCUCAAAUUUGAAAUCUUCAAGGUUCUACCUUGACGAAUUGUAGUUUAAAGAAGUGUUUUCUGUUGGAAGUUUUGGUAAAAGUUCUUUGGAAAUAGACAUCAUAAGAGGGUGAGAAUCCCGUAUUUGACCAUUAUUUCCAACUUUGUGAUACACUUUCAAAGAGUCGGAUUGUUUGGGAAUGCAGUCCAAAAUGGGUGGUAAAUUUCAUCUAAAGCUAAAUACUGGCGAAGAGACCGAUAGCGAACAAGUACCGUGAGGGAAAGAUGAAAAGAACUUUGAAAAGAGAGUUAAACAGUACGUGAAAUUGUCAAAAGGGAAGCGUUUGACACCAGUGUUGUUUUCUCGAAAAUCAAUUAAAAAUGGCAGGAUUUUGUGUUGUAUUGACUUUAUCAGCUUUCUGCACUUUUUUCUUAUCUUUUUUAAUGCACUUUUCGUUUAACAAGUCAACAUCAAUUUCUUUUGUUGUAAAAGGGUCAUUGGAAGGUGGCUUUCUUUUCGGAGAAAGUGUUUAUAGCCUUUGACUUCUGCAAUCGGAGAGAUUGAGGUCUGCAGCGUAGAUCCUUCGGGGUUAGAUGCAUUUGUGCUAAGUUAUAGCCUUUCAUAGACAACUUGUUGACUAUGAUCAGUCAUGUAGCUUACUCGCUUAUGUUAUUUUACCUACGCUUAGGAUGUUGAUCUGUAGUGCGUGCGC